AUGCCAGACUAGAUCCCAGGACCACAAGAUCAUGACCUGAGCUGAACGGGAAAAUGUCCCAAGUGAGAUCUGCUACCAUUGUUCCUGCUCAACCAAAGCCAUUUACUUCAUCAGAUACUAUGCCGAGCCCAGGUCUCUUCAAGUACACAUUGGGGAAGUAUCUUAAAGGCAUGAAGGGUGACCAGAUAGACUGGGAAAAGACUCUUGACUGGCAAGGGGCAGAAGAAAUGGAAGUAAACAUAUAAUAAUUUUGUUUAAGAUGAGUAGAAUAGGAACAAAAUAGGCACACAUUUGAAAAGGAAAUCACUAUUGAACUCACU